AGAGCACCUGCGGUGAAAGGUGACAGAGCUAGAGCAUCUGUGGUGACAGAGCUCGAGCAUCUGCAGUGAAAGGUGACAGAGCUAGAGCAUCUGUGGUGAAAGGUGACAGAGCUAGAGCAUCUGCGGUGAAAGGUGACAGAGCUAGAGCAUCUGCAGUGAAAGGUGACAGAGCUAGAGCACCUGCGGUGAAAGGUGACAGAGCUAGAGCACCUGCGGUGAAAGGUGACAGAGCUAGAGCACCUGCGGUGAAAGGUGACAGAGCUAGAGCAUCUGCAGUGAAAGGUGACAGAGCUAGAGCAUCUGUGGUGACAGAGCUCGAGCAUCUGCAGUGAAAGGUGACAGAGCUAGAGCAUCUGUGGUGACAGAGCGAGAGCGUGGUUUUUCAGACCAUGAGACACCCCAAAAAUUGGUCUUCUCACAAAACCGUCUCUA